AAAAAUAAAAUAAAAAGUCAAGC
rnacentral:sRNA from 1 species